rnacentral:misc_RNA from 1 species
GAUGAAGAACGUAGCGAAAUGCGAUAAGUAGUGUGAAUUGCAGAAUUCAGUGAAUCAUCGAAUCUUUGAACGCACAUUGCGCCCUUUGGUAUUCCAAAGGGCAUGCCUGUUCGAGCGUCAUUUGUACCCUCAAGCUUUGCUUGGUGUUGGGCGUCUUGUCUCUAGCUUUGCUGGAGACUCGCCUUAAAGUAAUUGGCAGCCGGCCUACUGGUUUCGGAGCGCAGCACAAGUCGCACUCUAUAUCAGCAAAGGUCUAGCAUCCAUUAAGCCUUUUUUUCAACUUUUGACCUCGGAUCAGGUAGGGAUACCCGCUGAACUUAAGCAUAUCAAUAAGCGGAGGA